rnacentral:misc_RNA from 1 species
GGUGAAUAUCAUUUGGUGCAUUGACAUAAUGAGCCGUAGAAGGAAGAGAGAGCAUGGAUAACUGACUUGUAUAAUUGUUGAUAUUAGAAGUAGAAGAUGCACUUCCAUCAGCAAUACUACUAGUGUUGUUGACGUUCUUAAUAUCAUUCAUCUGCUCACCUCUAUCCCUAUUAAUAUUAUCUUCUGCACCCAACAUAAAUUUUACACGUGGGGUUCCCCUAU